AUGGAUAUUUGCUGGGCUAGCCCAUUUUUCUUCAUACACAGCAACCCUUACAGUUUGUAUAUUCGCUCCUCCUUCAUUAAAUUCAAUGGUAUGCACAAUACGCAGUCUUUUGUGGCAUCCUUUGACCAGACUCUAAAACAAAGCUCGAUGCCAUUGUCAGUUAUGAAUUGGCAAAUCCAAACCCAGAGACAACACAAAGUGUCGAAAGGAAAGUUAAAGGCAUCUACACAUGAAAUAUAG
rnacentral:rRNA from 1 species